AUGACGAAGGCGAAACCCUCCACUUCACCACAACCUCCGGCUCUCAGAGUGCACCUGCACCUCUGCACCGACACCCCCGCACUGCUCUGCAGACACAUCCCUGAUGGACUAAGUAAAGAUGAUAUCUACCUACUAAAGAUCCUGCUGGCAGCAAGUGCUGAGCUGACAGGACCUGAACAGUCUCACAACGUCUCCAUCAUGAUGUUACUGGUGUUUAUAUUUUGCUUUUCUCAUCUGCCACGGAUUAAAGGUGCCUCUCACAGCAACAGUGUCUUCCAAACACCUCCUUUCAUCAUUAAGGAAACUGGUCAAUCUGUUGCCAGAGAAAUCAACUGUUCUCACAGCAUACCAAGUUAUGACCGAAUUCUCUGGUACAAACAAGACGAACAAGGAGCUCUGAAGUUUCUGGGAAAUCUGUUUGUAAAUAGCGCUACUGUCGAGGACGACGUGAAAGGAAAAAUCAGCUUUGAUGGAGAUGGUCGGACACAUUCACGCCUCAACAUUUCUGAUCUUGCAUUAGAUGACAGUGGUGUGUAUUUCUGUGCUGCCAGUCAGCACAGUGCUGCAGAUUCCCCUCACGUCAAUACAAAAACUCUCCUUUAUCUGUCUGCAGAGAGACAACAUGUUGAGUCUCUCCAACACCUGCAGCUUUGAAGACUUCAGUCAGUGUUAUGACACCAGUGUGACAAAAAUACUCACAACACAUUCUGUGUGACACUGUUUGAAACUAAGAUUCUUUAAGCAUUCACAGUGAUCAUAAUUAAUAUAGAAGAAUAAAGAAAGAAUAAGAAGCUGAUGAAAGUCACAGACCUCAAACUGACCUCUGUUUUAGGU